GAUGAGCGCUGGCGGCGUGCCUAAUACAUGCAAGUCGAGCGAACAGAUGAGGAGCUUGCUCCUCUGACGUUAGCGGCGGACGGGUGAGUAACACGUGGAUAACCUACCUAUAAGACUGGGAUAACUUCGGGAAACCGGAGCUAUACCGGAUAAUAUAUUUAACCGCAUGGUUCAAUAGUAAAGGACGGUUUUGCUGUCACUUAUAGAUGGAUCCCCGCCGCAUUAGCUAGUUGGUAAGGUAACGGCUUACCAAGGCAACGAUGCGUAGCCGACCUGAGAGGCUGGUCGGCCACCCUGGAACGGGGACGCCGUCCAUGCUCCUACGGGAGGGAGCAGUCGGGUAUCUUCCGCAGUGGGCGAGAGCUUUGCGGAGCAACGCCGCGUGAGUGAUGAAGGUCUUCGGAUCGUAAAACUCUGUUAUUAGGUAAGAACAAAUGUGUAAGUAACUAUGCACGUCUUGACGGUACCUAAUCAGAAAGCCACGGCUAACUACGUG
rnacentral:rRNA from 1 species